AGAUUUUUCUUGCAAAGCCAAUUUUACAUUACCCAAAACUAGGCCCUCUCUUGUGAUUUAAUGAUGGUAAGAAAGUGCUUUUUGUUUUGGGCAUUGUAUGUUUUGGACACUCCAACUUACUUUU
rnacentral:pre_miRNA from 14 species